rnacentral:rRNA from 1 species
CUCAAAAAAACAAUCUCAGUUCAGACUGCAGGCUGCAACUCGCCUGCACGAAGUCGGAAUUGCUAGUAAUCGUAGGUCAGCAUACUACGGUGAAUACGUUCCCGGGCCUUGUACACACCGCCCGUCAAACCAUGAGAGUUGGCAACACCCGAAGUCGGUAGUCUAACCGCAAGGAGGACGCCGCCGAAGGUGGGGUUGAUGAUUAGGGUUAAGUCGUAACAAGGUACC